rnacentral:rRNA from 1 species
UGCCCGGUAGCUAAAUGCGGAAGAGAUAAGUGCUGAAAGCAUCUAAGCACGAAACUUGCCCGAGAUGAGUUCUCCCUGAGACUUUAAGUCUCCUGAAGGAACGUUGAAGACGACGACGUUGAUAGGCCGGGUGUGUAAGCGCAGCGAUGCGUUGAGCUAACCGGUACUAAUGAACCGUGAGGCUUAACCUUACAACGCCGAAG